CUCCCUAGCUGGGGACCGCCCCGCAGGGAGGGCCUUGUGGCCCGCGGGGGAGGCGGGGAUCUGUCCUGGAUCUCCGAGACAUCUGGGUUCCCACACCGACCCGAAUGGGUGCGGUCGCCCCUUGGACCCUUGUUUCCAAGCGAGAGAUCGAGAGAUCGGUAUUUGGUCUGACAUAGAGCAGGGGCUAACACGGGGAGAGCUGUUUUUCUCUGACCCGUGCAGGUGCUAUUAGCAGGUUCAACAAAACUAAACAAACAAAACAAAACAAAACAAAAGAACCACCUAGCACGAACUAACCGAACUAACCGUUUGUGGAGCUUUCUAUUCAAAGGGUCAUAAGAGAGCCCAUUUCACAGAGGGGGAAACGGUGCAGAAGAGUUCAGGACUGGCACAAUCCCAAGAAGAGGACACCUAAUACAGUGUUGUCAAGCCCUGUCUCAGGUAGUUCUGGGUCUGGACAUCUGGGCUCACGGAAGAACUCCGGCUCCCCAUCAGUAGAGAACUCUUAAGUCUCUGGUUCUACUUUUCUCAAAAUGGCAUUUCUUUUGUUCUUUCAAUAACAUUUUUGUUUUUUAAAGGGUUUUUGGCAAACCUUAGUCACUUCAUUGUACUAAGUUGUUGCCUGUUGACCAGACACACUUGCCUCUGCUGGAGGUGACACUUUUAUCUACUCCUCUAGGCUGAUGGCACCUCCAUCUCCUUCUGUAAUAGUUUUCUAUUUCAGGCUCUCUAUCCUCUCCUGGGGAGCCAGGAUUGAGUCUCCCCCACUUCAGCUCGUCACUGGGAAGUUAGGGACCUGGGUUGGACGCCUGCAUACUGUGCCUCGGUCUCCUACUGGACACAGAGGUUGCAGAGGGUUAGAUCAGGCCUGCUCAGGAAGCCUGGUCUGCAGGUGACGGCGCUCACUCACCCCAGCUCCCUUUGGGGCCUGUACUGCAUGGCUUCUUACUGAACUUUGCCCUCUCCCACCCCAAUUUCUUCCCACUUAAGGGGGCAUAGGUGAAGCCUAACGGGACAGAGGGGGCCGUCAGGACUGAGCACAGCAUCCCAGGGAAGGAAUGGGCAAAGGGCAGACAAACACAGGUCAUGCCCAGUGAAUAACAAGGUGACUUAGGGGGGGCAAGCUGUCGAGGAAGGGAGGGUGACCAGGGGCCUUUGUGUAAUCCUAAAAACUCAGGAUUUUGUCAGGUGUCUGUAGAAGCCUUAGCUCUCUGGCUCCGUGGUGUAGGAAGGUCACCCUCAGGCCUGUGGAGCCCACAGUGGGCUGACUUAGACUCAACUCAGAGCUGAUUAAAGCCCACACUGCUCAAAUGAACAUUCCUGAUAGCACAAGCCAUUUUAACCUCUCUAGAUAACAAUUUGAUUGUGCAUAUUCAAAGCACAUAAUACAGCAUUCCCUACAAAAUUGCUUGCAAUGGACAAGGAUAUUCAUUGAAGCAUUGUUUGAAGAGAAUUGGAAAGGACCCAAAAUGUGCUGGGGAAGUAAGUGAUGGAUCUGUCACACAAAGGACACAAUGUAGCUGGCGGGAGGGUGUCAGUUAGAGCCAACUGUGCCUGGUGGCACACAGUAGGCACUCAGCAGGCCUGGAGAGACCUCCAGGUGCAAGAAGCAACUUGCACAAUGAUGGUAUAGAGUGGCUCCCCUCUUCCUUUCUGUAAGCGUGGAGCUGAUGCACAAACCCUUGCAAAGUCAGUAAAUGCCGAAGUGUUAAAGCUGUAUGCUUGGAAGUGAUGAGGAGAGAGAUUUCACUCUGGACACUGCCAUGGCUGCCUGAGGCUGGAGGAAGUGCUUGGAUCACUCACUGUAAUUGGCACAAGGAACCUUUCAGGAUGAUGGAAAAAAAUUUAAUACUACACCAUAAUGAUGAUCAUACAACCAGUUCACACCACUGAAAAACCACAGAACUGUUUACUUCAGUGAGUUAACUGUGUGCCAGCAAAUUACAUCCUGAGACACUCGCUACAAAAGUUUGAAGCACAAGAUCUAAAAUGUGAUGAGAAUGUAUCCGACAUGGCAUUGGUUUUGUUUGCUUGUUUAAGAACUGUAGUCUACAAAGAAUGCUCUAAGAAUAUGCGUAAAGGGAUACUUGCUCCUUAGCCGACUUGGGAAAUGACAAGGAACCUGAGCCAGCAGCUGGGCUGGCCCCUCGGGAGCAGAGCAGCGGGAGCAGCGUGGCCCCAGUUUGUCCAGUUGGUGAUUAACAGAAGGCCCAUUAUGGCUUGGCCUCGACCCCUGGGGUCAGUGACCACCAGCCCAGAGUCUCUGGCCCCAGGUUAAUGAUCACAAAGGUGGUGUAGCUUUGCUGGCCAUGUGGCUUUGGAGCUUGGGCCACAGUGACCAAGGCCCAGCCUCUGCCUUCAGGGACCCUGGAGCCUAGAAACCCUCACUCCAGGGCAUCAGUGAAUGGAGACUGGAAGGAGCAACUCUCUAAUCUCUUCCCUGCCUGGAAGAGGCGUGAGUUCAAGGGAUCAAGCGGGCUGAAGUGAAGUGAAGGGGAUGCACCAGUGUUAGGGAAGGCUCUGCCAUAGACCGCCUGGAUGACUGGUCUCCUCUAAGGCCCGUUUCUGGCCCCAGCAUUCCCAGAUCCUGGCUGCACCAUCCUGCCCAGAACCUACUUGCUUCUGAGCUUCAAAGUUCCCAUCUGCAAAAUGGGGACACCGAACCAGGUCACUUUGACAGGUCCUGAAUCAGACCACCUAGGACCCCUGAUGUAAGAAGGAGGCUCUGAAAUCAGUAAUAGCAUGUCAGCUCCCCUCGGGAUCCAGUGAGUAGUCAAGCCCUGGCCACUGCCAUACAGGACCCCAAAGCCUGAAACCCCUCACUAAAGAGCACAGGGCGUGGAGACUCUGAUGGGGUAACCCUGCCUUACUCUGUUCUGUGUGGUAGGAAUUCAGGGGAGCAAGUGGGUACAAGUGCCAAGGAAAGGAAGACGCACCGAUGACAGAGAAACCGACACUCAGGCCGCUCAUGUGGAAGGAGGCAUUGCUGAGGUUCAAACCCUCAUCUGGGGCUCCUGGGCCCCAGUUCUGUCUGGGAGAGGAAGCAGGAGCCCUGGCCCCACCUCAGCAGGGAGCAUCGACCCUGUGCAGGAAAUGGGUUGCGGUUGCUAAACCAGUCCAAGCCCAUGCCAGGCAGGCAGGCAGAAGUCUCUAGAGUAGCUGGCACUACCACAUCUCCUAGGUCGGGGCAAGAGAAGGUUCCAGAAAAGCCCUCGAGCCCUCCAGAUGCCUGAUGUCAUCACCCAGGAAAACCACAUGUCUAAGAAGACCCCAGACCAUGGCCACCGUGUGGAGAAAGACCACAGUACCUCCAUUUACUCGGGUCUGGGAUGGUUGCUCUGACUUGAAUGUAACUCUGCUGUCCAUGGAUUGUGUGGUGUAUUCAUCCUAGUCCCUGCUCUUUACUGCGCCUUGGGAACUGCCUUGAUCGCCCGUCUUGGCUGUUUGUGAGUUCUGCCCAGUGCCCCUACACAUCAGGCAUCCUCUCAGUAUAUGCCACAGGAUCCAGUGGCAUAGCUCACGUCCCUCUGUAGACCCCUCCCUCCCUGGGUUGGAUCUAGGCCCCCAUAACCAUCUCUUGACCGGUUCUUUUCCCUAUGACUAACUUCAAGUCAACCUCUAGAUCUCUGUGGGCUGCCGCGGGUGACUACCAGAUGAGAGGUCUCACCCUCGCCCUUGGCCACAGUGUACAAAAGGCCUUGGCGGGCUGGGAAGACACCUCCCUGUUCUGUUCCCUCACCCCAAACACAGCCGCUCUCAUCUCCCAGGCAGCUAGCCAUCACUGGAAGAGCUCCCUCUUUUCCUCCCAGAGCUUGUUUACUUUGGGCCCAUUGCAGUGCUCUGGUCCCCCGGGAGCACCCACCCUUCUGGCCUAGGAUUUUGCCAGGAGGGACAAUGAUCAGUAAACAGAGAAGGCAGUUGUGAAACCCAGCGAGAGCAGACAGGACCCGCACAUGUUCCGGCAGGCCCCCACGGACUUGAAGGCACAGGCCGCGGCACCUGCAGUUUCCUCAUUUUUAAAAUGGAACGGAGUUAAAAGUGCCAGUCUCCUGGAAUGGCAGGGGACUCCAAGGCCUGACCCACGGCAUCUCCCAAGGGUCCCUGGAUGGCCUGCUUUCUUCUCUCAGAGGCCUGAGCCCAGCACAUUCACACCUACCGAAUGGCAGCAGCCUGGAACAGUAGGCUGUCCUGUGGGGGUCCAGUCAAGAGGACUCAUGUUACAGGCGUGCCCAGCCCAGGACGGUUUAGGCCUCAGGACUCAGAUACAGAAAGAGAAAAGGAUCCUCCUCAGGCGAAGAAAAAAGAAGCCAUGGCAGGCAUAACCAUCUCCACAAGACCCAGGAGGUACGGAAAGGUUUUAUUCUUUGCUCCUUCUCCAACCCCUAGCUCCCAGCCUAGACAUCUGUCACAUGAUUCUGUGAAUGAAUGGAUUCCAGAAUCUGCUGAACAUUUAAGUUCAGAAAAACAAAGCCCUGUGCAUAGUCAGAAAGGGUGGGGUGGGGCAGCUUGGGAAACACGGCUCAGCCUUCCAGUGGCAAGGGAGAGAAUGUUCCAGAUGGAGAAGAAGGAAUCAAUGUGCCAGAGACUUGGGACAAGGACAUCUGAGGACCUGACAGGAGGGCACCAAGUCACCCUCCUUACCUGCUUACACCCAAGUUCAUGGAGGUGAGCGUGAGGCGGGUGCAGUCCAGGGGAUGAAGGAGCUGCAAGGGUGAACAGGCAGGCCCCUGAGACAUUCAGCCAGGCCCGAGCAGGUCUGGCUGUGGCCCUGUGGUGGUUUCCGAAGUUGGGCAGGCAGAAUGCAAGGGCCUGGGGACAUGGCUCGCAAAAGCAUUCACGGAAAAGGACUCCCCUGCCUCUGGACUGUCAGAAGCAGGCACCCCAGAAGCCAGGUGUGAUCCUUCAGUGGCAGCUGAGGAGAGGCCAGGCCUCUGGGUCUAGAGAACCUUCUAGAAACCCCUGGCUCCAAGGACUAAGUACCAAUGGCCCUCUCAUCUAGACUUUAAGAGGGACAGAGCCAUGGUCAGCUCCUGUCACCGCCUGGCAGCUGGGUGCAGUGGAGCAUUGGGAAAUACAGGCACUCACUUCCUGCUUCUUUUGGCAAGCAACAGUGAUACCAUGGGCUGGCCAUUGACGCUGUGGGCUAGCCAUUGACGCUGUGGGCUGGAGGGCACUUUCCUUUCUCCUCACACAAUUAGAAGUUCUCUUCUGUUCAGGUGGAAACCUCUCACAGCGACCCCCAUGGCUUUUCAGCUCACAAAGGAGGCAUCUGCAGUCCUGUCUGAUCCCCACAACCACCUUGUCAGACAAGGAGGGACCCAAUGUACCGCCUUACAGGAGGAAAAGCCCAGGGCCUGCUUGGGAGGGAAUCUGUGUCUCCUGGCUUGUAGCCCAGCACUCUGCAUUCCGCCCAGCGCCCAGCCUCCCAGUGCCCUGCACCUCAGGCUCGCCUGGGAACCUGAUAGGUGGCCCGCCCACCCAGCCAGCCAGGUGGGGAUGACUCAUCCACCCUGGCAUGACUCACUCCUCAGGUGCCUCCUUGGGCCAACAAGCAGGGGGCUUGGUGGCCACAGCCCAACUUCUUGCACCUCUCUACAACCUGCAGGGAGAGUUCCUACCUCGCCUCCUCAAGGAACCCACCCCACGAUAGCGCUCCCAGGAGGCUUGAGCACAGCAAGCAAGAAGCCCCGCCAGGGUGAGAGCAGGCAUCAGGGUGCUCAGCCUGCCUCACCCCUCCCCUCAGGACCGCCCUCAUCCCUGCCUCAUCCCUGCCCUCACCUGCCUUUCCCUUGGUGAGGAGCAGAUGAGGUAAUGAAUAAACAGUAUGUCCACAAAGGGAAAAACUUUUAAUCCACAAAGGCUGUUCAGCUGCUCGCACUCUGGAAUCAUCUAGACUCCCCAGGACACUAGGUGGUCAGUGGUUCUGUGUUGUUCUACCUACCUUACAG